AGUCGUAACAAGAUUUCCGUAGACCCUAGAAACCGUCCAGCGACACUUUCAUUCGCCCGGUCAGGACUCCAGACUGACGAUAAAAGGCUCAAUUGCUUUCUCACCAGACAGAGGUCCUGAAUCAAAGACUACUUUCGCCACUGAUUUACCAGGAUUGCUGUCAUAAUGGGCUUACAAGAGCUCUCUAAAGAUGCACGGGGGUUUAACGUUGGAUACGUGUUAAUGAUCCUUCCGCAGGUUCACAAGGCUUCGCCAUCACUGGAGGCUCAACACGGGCCGGUGGACAGACUGCAGGGUCCCCAUGCCCCUUUAUGACGACCAAGUUAAAUAAGGCCUCUACCACAUAGCAAGUGCGCCGCGGUAGAGGAAAACGUACAACUGUUAACAAUGGAUAUCUUGGUUCUC
rnacentral:misc_RNA from 1 species